CCGUCAGGGCUCUGAAAUUAGCAGCGGAACGCAGUUCCUAACUGAAACAGCUCGUGUCUCACUGUUGUAAAUCAGUUUCAGCUUGCUGAUGCAGAGUCUGAGGGCAGCUAGUUUGCCACCAUUGAUGCAGGGCUGAAAGGGUCUUCAGAAAACCAUCUCACAAGAACCAUCCUUUCCAGCUGAAGCUGUCAAUCACCCGGCCCUAGGUGGUACAGGAUGUCAGCUCCCUCAACAAUACGACUGGUCCAGAAGUGGACGUGUAACCCCAUCAGAGCCAAACAGGGUUCUUUUGGGGACGGCUACUUAUUUGCUACUCUUUCAGAAGAGACGAGUGAUUUGAAGGGUGAAAACGCAGACCUGAGGGACAGACCCUGUCCCUUAUCGACCUCUGGAAUGGCAACUGUAAUGGAUGGGAUUAAGAAAAUAUGGGGCGCCUGGGUGGCGCAGUCGGUUAAGCGUCCGACUUCAGCCAGGUCACGAUCUCGCGGUCCGUGAGUUCGAGCCCCGCGUCGGG